rnacentral:rRNA from 1 species
CUAGUGUAGCGGUGAAAUGCGUAGAUAUUAGGAAGAACACCGGUGGCGAAGGCGACAAACUGGACGAUAACUGACGUUGAGGCACGAAAGUGUGGGGAGCAAACAGGAUUAGAUACCCUGGUAGUCCACACCGUAAACGAUGGAUACUAGGUGUUGGCAAUGAAUAAUUGUCGGUGCCGGCGCUAACGCAAUAAGUAUCCCACCUGGGGAGUACGACCGCAAGGUUGAAACUCAAAGGAAUUGACGGGGGCCCGCACAAGCAGUGGAGUAUGUGGUUUAAUUCGAAGCUACGCGAAGAACCUUACCAAGGCUUGACAUAUAGAGGAAUAAGUAGGAAACUACUUAGCUCUUCGGAGUCUCUAUACAGGUGGUGCAUGGUUGUCGUCAGCUCGUGUCGUGAGAUGUUAGGUUAAGUCCUGCAACGAGCGCAACCCCUAUUUCUAGUUGCCAGCACGUAAUGGUGGGAACUCUAGAAAGACUGCCGGUGAUAAAUCGGAGGAAGGUGGGGACGACGUCAAAUCAUCAUGCCCUUUAUGUCUUGGGCAACACACGUACUACAAUGGCCGUUACAGAGAGAAGCAAUACAGUGAUGUGGAGCAAAACUCAAAAAGCGGUCUCAGUUCGGACUGUAGGCUGAAAUUCGCCUACACGAAGUCGGAAUUGCUAGUAAUGGCAGGUCAGAAUACUGCCGUGAAUACGUUCCCGGGCCUUGUACACACCGCCCGUCACACCAUGAGAGUUAGAAAUACCCGAAGCCUGUGAGCUAACAGUUUAAUAUUGAGGCAGCAGUCGAAGGCAGAGCUAAUGAUUGGGGUGAAGUCGUAACAAGGUAGCCGUAGGAGAACCUGCGGCUG